AUUGAACGCUGGCGGCAUGCCUUACACAUGCAAGUCGAACGGCAGCACGGGGCAACCUGGUGGCGAGUGGCGAACGGGUGAGUAAUGCAUCGGAACGUACCUUUCAGUGGGGGAUAACGUAGCGAAAGUUACGCUAAUACCGCAUAUUCUGUGAGCAGGAAAGCAGGGGAUCGCAAGACCUUGCGCUGAUUGAGCGGCCGAUGUCAGAUUAGCUAGUUGGUGAGGUAAAGGCUCACCAAGGCGACGAUCUGUAGCGGGUCUGAGAGGAUGAUCCGCCACACUGAAACUGAGACACGGUCCAGACUCCUACGGGAGGCAGCAGUGGGGAAUUUUGGACAAUGGGGGCAACCCUGAUCCAGCCAUGCCGCGUGAGUGAGGAAGGCCUUCGGGUUGUAAAGCUCUUUCGGCCGGGAAGAAAUCGCACGGGCUAAUACCCUGUGUGGAUGACGGUACCGGAAUAAGAAGCACCGGCUAACUACGUGCCAGCAGCCGCGGUAA
rnacentral:rRNA from 1 species